CAGGCCUAACACAUGCAAGUCGAGCGGAUGACGGGAGCUUGCUCCUUGAUUCAGCGGCGGACGGGUGAGUAAUGCCUAGGAAUCUGCCUGGUAGUGGGGGACAACGUUUCGAAAGGAACGCUAAUACCGCAUACGUCCUACGGGAGAAAGCAGGGGACCUUCGGGCCUUGCGCUAUCAGAUGAGCCUAGGUCGGAUUAGCUUGUUGGUGAGGUAAUGGCUCACCAAGGCGACGAUCCGUAACUGGUCUGAGAGGAUGAUCAGUCACACUGGAACUGAGACACGGUCCAGACUCCUACGGGAGGCAGCAGUGGGGAAUUUUCCGCAAUGGGCGAAAGCCUGACGGAGCAAGACCGCGUGAGGGAAGAAGGUCUGUGGAUUGUAAACCUCUUUUGAUUGGGAAGAAGAACUGACGGUACCAAUCGAAUCAGCCUCGGCUAACUCCGUGCCAGCAGCCGCGGUAAU
rnacentral:rRNA from 1 species